rnacentral:rRNA from 1 species
CUCCUACGGGGAGGCAGCAGUGGGGAAUAUUGCACAAUGGGGGAAACCCUGAUGCAGCCAUGCCGCGUGUGUGAAGAAGGCCUUCGGGUUGUAAAGCACUUUCAGUAGGGAGGAAGGUAGUGUAGUUAACACCUGCAUUAUUUGACGUUACCUACAGAAGAAGCACCGGCUAACUCCGUGCCAGCAGCCGCGGUAAUACGGAGGGUGCGAGCGUUAAUCGGAAUUACUGGGCGUAAAGCGCAUGCAGGCGGCCUGUUAAGUCAGAUGUGAAAGCCCGGGGCUUAACCUCGGAAUUGCAUUUGAAACUGGCAGGCUAGAGUCUUGUAGAGGGGGGUAGGAAUUUCAGGUGUAGCGGUGAAAUGCGUAGAGAUCUGAAGGAAUACCAGUGGCGAAGGCGGCCCCCUGGACAAAGACUGACGCUCAGAUGCGAAAGCGUGGGGAGCAAACAGGAUUAGAUACCCUGGUAG